UACGAAGGGUGCAAACGUUGCUCGGAAUUAUUGGGCGUAAAGCGCACGUAGGCGGCUUUGCAAGUCGGAUGUGAAAUCCCUCGGCUCAACCAAGGAAGUGCAUCCGAAACUGCAGAGCUUGAGUACCAAAGAGGAUCGCGGAAUUCCCGGUGUAGAGGUGAAAUUCGUAGAUAUCUGGAGGAACAUCAGUGGCGAAGGCGACACCCUGGACUCAUACUGACACUGAGGUGCGAAAGCGUGGGGAGCAAACAGG
rnacentral:rRNA from 1 species